UUCAGUGGGCUCCGUGAGGUGGAGCCGUGAACCGGGUCAGGCCUUAACCGGAGCAGCCCUAAGCGGGGUACGCUUGUGCGGAGUCCUCUCAAACA
rnacentral:SRP_RNA from 2 species